CCUACGGGGGGCUGCAGUGAGGAAUAUUGGUCAAUGGACGAGAGUCUGAACCAGCCAAGUAGCGUGAAGGAUGACUGCCCUAUGGGUUGUAAACUUCUUUUAUAUGGGAAUAAAAUGUUCCACGUGUGGGAUUUUGUAUGUACCAUAUGAAUAAGGAUCGGCUAACUCCGUGCCAGCAGCCGCGGUAAUACGGAGGAUCCGAGCGUUAUCCGGAUUUAUUGGGUGUAAAGGGAGCGUAGACGGUGAUGUAAGUCUGGAGUGAAAGGCGGGGGCCCAACCCCCGGACUGCUCUGGAAACUAUGUGACUGGAGUGCAGGAGAGGUGAGCGGAAUUCCUAGUGUAGCGGUGAAAUGCAUAGAUAUCACGCAGAACUCCGAUUGCGAAGGCAGCAUACCGGCGCUCAACUGACGCUCAUGCACGAAAGUGUGGGUAUCGAACAGGAUUAGAUACCCCAGUAGUC
rnacentral:rRNA from 1 species